UUGUUUAUGACUGCAUGGAGGUGCAGCUUUAAUACUUGAUUGUACAAACUUUUAGUCCUAUCUUUCAUAAAACCUGUUUUUUUAUGAUUGUUGUUUUCAGGACAAGAAUUAUCAACAAAAAUAGAGAAAAUGGGCAUACAGGGUAAGCCCCAGAAAGGAGAGACAGAUGCAGAGUUACAGGAAACUGAACCAGCCUUGGACAGCAGAAUAGAGAGAGCAACUUCCUGACCUUCUUAGGAUGGGCUGUUGGUUAGGGGUGGGGUCUCUUGGAUGAUAGUCAUCUGUAUGUAAGAGUUACCCUGGAUAGUUAUAGAUAGAAAAAAUAGAGAGAAAGAAGGAGAGAGCAAGUUUAGAAAUAUAAGAUUUUUAGAUCAUUUGUUUGUACAGUGGCAGAAUUGGCCCAUUAUUGAAAACUGAGCAUGCUAAUUUUAGCCAUUUGAGGCUAAGCUGUUUGUAGUAACAGUGAGAGGCUUUAAUAAAAUCUGAGCCCCUGGAGAGAAAGGGUCCCAAAAACUCUGCCAGAGGGAGUUUCUAUAAGCCUCAAGUAGAAGCUGAGAGAAAAGAAAAAA
rnacentral:lncRNA from 1 species